GCAGUCGCAGGGUAGGAUGUAGCAUACAUCUGAGACUGGCGCACGGGUGCGUAACGCGUAGGCAACCUGGCCUGGAGAGGGGGAUAACACCGCGAAAGCGGUGCUAAUACCGCGUAAAGCGACGUUACCGCAUGGUAAUGUUGUUAAAGUCGUAGCGAUACGGCGCUUCAGGAUGGGCCUGCGUCCGAUUAGUUAGUUGGCAGGGUAGUGGCCUACCAAGACGAUGAUCGGUAGCUGGUCUGAGAGGAUGAUCAGCCACACGGGGACUGAGACACGGCCCCGACUCCUACGGGAGGCAGCAGUGAGGAAUAUUGCGCAAUGGGCGAAAGCCUGACGCAGCCACGCCGCGUGCCGGAAGAAGGUUCUCUGAAUUGUAAACGGCUUUUGACAGGGAAGAGUGCUUGGGUUUCGACCCGAAAGAGACGGUACCUGUUGAAUAAGCACCGGCUAACUCCGUGCCAGCAGCCGCGGUAAUACGGGAGUGGCAAGCGUUAUCCGGAAUUAUUGGGCGUAAAGCGUCCGCAGGCGGUUUUGUAAGUCUGUUGUUAAAGCGUGGAGCUUAACUCCAUUUCAGCAAUGGAAACUACAAGACUAGAGUGUGGUAGGGGCAGAGGGAAUUCCCGGUGUAGCGGUGAAAUGCGUAGAUAUCGGGAAGAACACCAGUGGCGAAGGCGCUCUGCUGGGCCAUAACUGACGCUCAUGGACGAAGGCCAGGG
rnacentral:rRNA from 1 species